UUUUAUUUUUCUUUCUUGCCGGAAAGGCCACGAAUAGAGUUCGAGCAACAUGCCCUGAAAAUAGCCUUUGCGGAUAGAUUUUCAAAAUCCCAAAGGAUCUCUAAGCCAAGAUGAUCUCCCAAUUUUGAAAGUAGCCGUUGCUGCUGAUCGAGAAUUCAAAAUUCAAAAUUCCAGACACUCCGAAGGCAAAAACCAUUAACGGUAUAAAAUUUCCCUAAUAUUUCAUUCUCUCUCCAAUUCUUUCGCUCAGUUUCAAAAUUCCAGAUGUUCCCAAGCAAAAAUAAUCUUCCAAUUUUGAAACUAGCCGUUGCUGCUGAUCGAAUUUCAAAUUUCAAAAUCUAGACGCUCCUAUUGUCCCCCAAAAAAAAAAAAGAAAAAAAGAUCCAGAUGCUUUUAAGCCGAAAACCAAUUAUGUUUUUUGGAGUUCGAUGCAGAGGUUCAUUUGGGCCAUUCAACAUCCUGCAAGCGGAUAUUUUCUGGGAAUCAAUGAUCUUGUUACACCAUUUUUCUCUCUGUUUAGAGGAUGAUUCAACAGAUUUCUUCAGGACCGUUCAGAAUCCUGCAAGCUGGUAUAUUCAGGCAAUAACUGAUCUUGUUACAGAUUUCUUCAGGUAAUGUUGACUUCUUACUUGAUAUGUUCACAGAAUAAUGAUCCUGUUACACCAUUUUCAGUUGUUUUUAUGUCAUAAAGUACAUGGAAGGGAAUGUCAAUUGGUGCAUUUCUAAUCUUACCCCCAAAAAAAUCAAGGCUGAGGAGCUUUCAACAGAUUUCUUCAGGUAAUGGUUAUUUCUUACUUGAUAUUGUUGCACUAUUACACUAUUUGUAGUUGUUUUUUUGUCAGAGUACUUGGAAGGGAAUGUGCAAAAUUGGUUUACUACCAUUGUCAACUCCGCAAAUUUUAGCAUCUUGCGAGAAUCCAUGUUCAGGGAAUAGAUGAUCCUGUUACUAGUGCCCCUGACGAGCUUUCAACAGAAUUCUUCAGGUAAUGGUGACUUCUUUCUCUUGGAGUUGUUUUUCUGUCAGAGUACUUGGAAGGCAAUGUGCAAAAUUGGUUUAUUUAUUUUCUAACUCCUGAAAUUAUAUCUAUAGUGGUUGAUGAGCUUUCAUCAGAUUUCGUCAGGUAAGUGAUAGACUUCUUUCUCUUUCAAUUGUGAAUAUUGAUUGGAAAAACGAUGAAAAAGCAUAUUUUCCUUCUUAAAUUAGAGCUCAAUGUUUAUUUAAAUUGUAAAUUUAUAUCUGUUUUGAUUGUUCAAGAACUGUACUGGAUAUCUCAUUCUUUCAGCGAGUACAAGUCCAGAAAUUCUUGGAGCGCAUGCUCCGUACAUGGUUUGUUUUGAGGAACAGAUGAAUGGUUGUAAAUUUCCAUGGAUUGGAUUUUCUCUUUCUUGCUUUUAAAUUUUCUCUCAAUUGAUAUUAGGUCAUCUAUGACUUCUAUAGAUUUUCAGAUAUGGUCUGAAUAUAUUCAGUGAACAAAUAAUCUGAUACCUGAUUCAUUUUAGAUCCAAGAGUAACCAGCACUACCAAUGUCAACUCCACAAAUUUUAGCAUCUUGCAAGAAUCCAUGUUCAGGGAAUAAACGAUCUUGUUACUGGUGCCCCUGACAAGCUUUCAACAGAAUUCUUCAGAAUACUUUGAAGGGAGUGCACAGAAUUGGUCUAUUUCUGAAGUAACUCCAGAAAAAAUAUCUAACAUAGAGGCUGAUGAGCUUUCAACAGAUUUCUACAGAACCACGCACGCGCCAGCCAGUGACGAGCGGAGGGAGGAGGCGAGCUCAGCCGCCAAUUUUCACGGUCACCGGCCGCCGGACGCGGGCCGAUCGGGCCGGAGAAGCCGCCGGUCGGCAAAAUUUCUCUCUCCUCUUUUCUUGUGUUUUUCGGCCAGCCCAGUCCGAAUUAAACCUCCUCUCCCCCUAUUUUGGGUCAUCUGAGUUCAAAAAUGGCCUCCAAUCUCAAAAAUUCGAAGCGGUUUGCGAGAUACGAGUGAAUUGAAAACCGGCCGAAACUUUCCGGCCAAAUUCCGACCACCUCCGGCGGAAUUGGGGUCGAUGGAGACCGGUAAUGCGCUCCUCGUUCCACAAGCUUCGAUUCGGUAUAUUAUUCGACUAUUUUGGUUAACGUUUGUGUUUUGACCCCCCGGGUACCGGGUAUUAUUUAACCGAUUAAAAUAUUAAUUUAUUUGACUGUCUGUGAAUUUUGUUCUAGGAGUACCGAUGAGUCGUAGAAUUGAUCCCGUAGUGGAUCAUGGGUUAAUUGCGUGCUCCAGGUGAGUGACCCACUUUUAAAAAAUAUUUUUGGGGUAAUUAAUUGUAUUUAUGUGGUAUUAAUUUGAUAUGUGUAAUUGGUGCUCAUGUGGUGUACUUUAAAUAUAAUCGGGAAAAAAUAUUAUUUUAUAUAUAUAUUUACCCAUUGGUGCUAAAUGAAAUUUUGGGGUCAUUAAGAAAUUCUCGAUUAUUAUUUUAUUGUGAUUAAAUGGUAUUUAUUACACAUGAGCAAGUAUUUUCAGUAAUUGAUUGUCUGGAUUUUAUAUCAUUUUUGGGCAAUUAAUUAUGUUUAAUUGGUAUUUAAAUUAUGCUCAUGUGGUACAAAUUGGUUAUGGUUUUAUUGUGGUUUAAUUUAUUAUUAUGCAUGAGCAAAGUGUAUUUCGGUAGUAUUUGUACGUAGUUUUAAGUAAUAUUUUUCGGGCAUAAUUGGGUUAAAUAUUUUACGAAAAUAUUUGUUUAAAUUUUAUAAAUUAUGCCCGCGGUAUUUUUAUGGUUGCAUUUCGUACUUCGAAAAAAUUGUGGUUUGUUGGUUAUCAAUGUUUCGUACCGGUUUAUUAAAUAAAAAUAUAUGGGAUGGUAAGUGUGAGAAUUUAAUGUAUUUCUCACGGUAAUUUUUGGAAAAACGGUACGGUUGGUUAAUAAUGUUUAUUUUUAGACGCACUCAUACAGUAUUGGUGUUCUGGUGUAUGGUGUAUGGACACGUGGUAGCGCGCAGGUAUUAUGUGGUUUAGCGCGCGGUUAUUACUUCACCCGUGAGUUGCCAUUGGACCGUGGGCAGACAAGUUUGCUAUUGCGCACAGCCGCCACCCUCCUUGGCCGGGUGAUGGUUUUAGCAGCGGUACUGUCGGGACGCCGAAGUGCCGUUGCAGGUUUCUCUCUUUAACCUCUCCGCCAGUCGGUGCUUGGGAUGCUGGGUAUCGGAGGGCAUCACCGGUAUAUGGUGUGGUGCGUCAGGUGUAAUUUUUAAAUAAAGUUUCAAACCCCAAAUGGUACAAAAUUAUUUAUUAUAAUUUAUUGCAGUUUAUUUAUAUUUGGGGUAUUUAUUUAUUUAUUUAUUUGUUGUUUAUUAAAUUAUUUGGUUCAUUGGUUUUCGGGAAGUACGAAUAUCGGGUUUUGUGAAAAUGUUUUAAAAGGGGAACAUUUCCAACGGAGUGAAUAGUGAGGGUUUUGAGAGAAAGUAUUACUUCAAUUGUUUAUUUAUUUAAUUGUUCGGUACUGGUUAAUUAAAUUCCUUUAUUUUUAUAUUAUUAAUAUUAAAGGUGUAUAGUAGAUAGGGUCACUCACUGAGAUGAUUAGCAUAUCACACUCUUAAAUUCCGUUCCCCUAGGUCCAGGUUGGAGACGUUGAUUGUCCGGGGCGAGCCCAACGUCUCAGUUCGUUGCCGAAGGUUCAAGAAGUUUUUCUUCCCUUUUCUCCUCUCUGUCUUGUAUUGCUUCCUUAUCUGUCAUUUUAUAAAUUCCACACUUAUCUGUAUAAUGCUCUGUAUACUGUAUUGGACGUGUAGUUGUUCUUUAUUUAUGCACUGGGUUGCUGCUGUUAUCUUUUGAAGUGCUGAAAUUUGUGGAAUCAAUCUGUAGUAACGUGGGAGGAAUAAGGGGAUGUUUUUAGAAGUGUGUUUUCAGUGCAGGUAAUUUUUGGUUAGUCCUACCCUUAGGGGAGGUGUUGCCGAAUUUUCCGUUGGAAGGUUCGGUGGUAUUUCCCUAGGAUCAGCGCUUGUCUAGGGUUCCGGGGAAGGAAUUUUGGACGGGUCCUGACACUUUAUGUAAAUUUCUCAUAAAAGCUCUACUUAUUCUUACAUUUGUGAAUCUAAAAUUUCAACUUUUUUUUUCUAAGAUCAAUAAGCUCCAACUUAUUUUGUAA